UAACGGCGAGUGAAGCGGCAACAGCUCAAAUUUGAAAUCUGGCCUCGGCCCGAGUUGUAAUUUGCAGAGGAUGCUUUUGGCGCGGUGCCUUCCGAGUUCCCUGGAACGGGACGCCACAGAGGGUGAGAGCCCCGUAUGGUUGGACACCAAGCCUGUGUAAAGCUCCUUCGACGAGUCGAGUAGUUUGGGAAUGCUGCUCAAAAUGGGAGGUAAAUCUCUUCUAAAGCUAAAUACCGGCCAGAGACCGAUAGCGCACAAGUAGAGUGAUCGAAAGAUGAAAAGCACCUUGAAAAGGGGGUUAAACAGUACGUGAAAUUGUUGAAAGGGAAGCGCUUGUGACCAGACUUGCGCCUGGCGGCUCAUCCGGGGUUCUCUCCGGUGCACUCCGCCAGGCUCAGGCCAGCAUCGGUUCUGGCGGGGGGAUAAGAUCGGCGGGAACGUAGCACCCUCCGGGGUGUGUUAUAGCCCGCCGAACGAUACCCUCGCGGGGACCGAGGUUCGCGCUCCGCAAGGAUGCUGGCGUAAUGGUCAUCAGCGACCCGUCUUGAAACACGGACCAAGGAGUCGUCCAUUAUAGCGAGCGUUUGGGUGUAAAACCCGCACGCGUAAUGAAAGUGAAAUUAGGUGAGAGCUUCGGCGCAUCAUCGACCGAUCCUGAUGUUCUCGGAAGGAUUUGAGUAAGAGUUAUAACGGACGGACCCGAAAGACAGUGAACUAUGCUUGUAUAGGGUGAAGCCAGAGGAAACUCUGGUGGAGGCUCGCAGCGGUUCUGACGUGCAAAUCGAUCGUCAAAUAUGAGCAUGGGGGCGAAA
rnacentral:rRNA from 1 species